rnacentral:lncRNA from 10 species
CCAUCAACAACAGAAUGGACACAGAACUUGGUACUCCACAGUGUGAAGGUACCACAGCAGCAAUGAAGGGCAGCCACUGCAGUUACACGCCAUCAGCAUGGACUCAUCUGUCAACCCCCAACAGAAGGAAGGCACAAGAGAAUAAAUGCAGUACAAUUCCACAUGUAUAAAGUUCAAGGGCAUGCAAAGUGAAACUAUAGGCAGGCACAGGAGGGAAGCAAAUUGAGGAUGAUUAUCACAAAAAUCAGUUAAGAAAACACAAACUGCAUCAUCCAAAAAUACACCUUUGGUCCACGGAUGCCACUGGAAGACAUCUGAAUUUUAGACCUCCAGAGAGAAGAUCUGGGUGGCUAGCUCCAGAGUGGAGGCAUGCUUGCUUUUUCUUUACACUUGUGAAGAGGAAUGGAUCCGGACAUCUGCAAUCUGGGUAGAGGACGGCAGGCAGCAAGCUUAGCCACUCGGCCAGGCUUC